GCCCCUGUAGCUCAAUGGAUAGAGCAGAUCCGUCCUAAGGAUAAGAUGCGGGUUCGAUUCCUGCCGGGGGCACCA
rnacentral:tRNA from 1 species